CUACGGGGGGCACCAGUGGGGGAUAUUGCACAAUGGGCGAAAGCCUGAUGCAGCAACGCCGCGUGAAGGAAGACGGUUUUCGGAUUGUAAACUUCUAUCAGCAGGGAAGAAAAUGACGGUACCUGACUAAGAAGCCCCGGCUAACUACGUGCCAGCAGCCGCGGUAAUACGUAGGGGGCAAGCGUUAUCCGGAAUUACUGGGUGUAAAGGGUACGUAGGCGGCUGAUCAAGUCAGAUGUGAAAGCCCGGGGCUCAACCCCGGGACUGCAUUUGAAACUGGUCGGCUAGAGUGCAGGAGAGGAAAGUGGAAUUCCUAGUGUAGCGGUGAAAUGCGUAGAUAUUAGGAAGAACACCAGUGGCGAAGGCGGCUUUCUGGACUGUAACUGACGCUGAGGUACGAAAGCGUGGGGAGCGAACAGGAUUAGAUACCCUGGUAGUC
rnacentral:rRNA from 1 species